rnacentral:tRNA from 2 species
GCUGGGAUAGCCUAGCCCGGACAAGGCGGCGGCCUCGAGAGCCGCUGGGCGCAAGCCCGCGCAGGUUCAAAUCCUGCUCCCAGCG